rnacentral:rRNA from 1 species
UGCAGGCUUAACACAUGCAAGUCGAGGGGCAGCAUGGUCUUAGCUUGCUAAGGCCGAUGGCGACCGGCGCACGGGUGAGUAACACGUAUCCAACCUGCCGUCUACUCUUGGACAGCCUUCUGAAAGGAAGAUUAAUACAAGAUGGCAUCAUGAGUCCGCAUGUUCACAUGAUUAAAGGUAUUCCGGUAGACGAUGGGGAUGCGUUCCAUUGGAUAGUAGGCGGGGUAACGGCCCACCUAGUCUUCGAUGGAUAGGGGUUCUGAGAGGAAGGUCCCCCACAUUGGAACUGAGACACGGUCCAAACUCCUACGGGAGGCAGCAGUGAGGAAUAUUGGUCAAUGGGCGAGAGCCUGAACCAGCCAAGUAGCGUGAAGGAUGACUGCCCUAUGGGUUGUAAACUUCUUUUAUAAAGGAAUAAAGUCGGGUAUGGAUACCCGUUUGCAUGUACUUUAUGAAUAAGGAUCGGCUAACUCCGUGCCAGCAGCCGCGGUAAUACGGAGGAUCCGAGCGUUAUCCGGAUUUAUUGGGUUUAAAGGGAGCGUAGAUGGAUGUUUAAGUCAGUUGUGAAAGUUUGCGGCUCAACCGUAAAAUUGCAGUUGAUACUGGAUAUCUUGAGUGCAGUUGAGGCAGGCGGAAUUCGUGGUGUAGCGGUGAAAUGCUUAGAUAUCACGAAGAACUCCGAUUGCGAAGGCAGCCUGCUAAGCUGCAACUGACAUUGAGGCUCGAAAGUGUGGGUAUCAAACAGGAUUAGAUACCCUGGUAGUCCACACGGUAAACGAUGAAUACUCGCUGUUUGCGAUAUACAGCAAGCGGCCAAGCGAAAGCGUUAAGUAUUCCACCUGGGGAGUACGCCGGCAACGGUGAAACUCAAAGGAAUUGACGGGGGCCCGCACAAGCGGAGGAACAUGUGGUUUAAUUCGAUGAUACGCGAGGAACCUUACCCGGGCUUAAAUUGCAGAUGAAUUACGGUGAAAGCCGUAAGCCGCAAGGCAUCUGUGAAGGUGCUGCAUGGUUGUCGUCAGCUCGUGCCGUGAGGUGUCGGCUUAAGUGCCAUAACGAGCGCAACCCUUGUUGUCAGUUACUAACAGGUUCCGCUGAGGACUCUGACAAGACUGCCAUCGUAAGAUGUGAGGAAGGUGGGGAUGACGUCAAAUCAGCACGGCCCUUACGUCCGGGGCUACACACGUGUUACAAUGGGGGGUACAGAGGGCCGCUACCACGCGAGUGGAUGCCAAUCCCCAAAACCUCUCUCAGUUCGGACUGGAGUCUGCAACCCGACUCCACGAAGCUGGAUUCGCUAGUAAUCGCGCAUCAGCCACGGCGCGGUGAAUACGUUCCCGGGCCUUGUACACACCGCCCGUCAAGCCAUGGGAGCCGGGGGUACCUGAAGUGCGUAACCGCGAGGAGCGCCCUAGGGUAAAACUGGUGACUGG